GCAAUGAGAAAGAAGAAAACUCAUAAAAUGGAAAAUUUCCAUUUUCAGAUCUGGCCUAGCCUGUGAACAAUUUUGGAAUUCAGGGACAAUUUAGCAGGGGGGAAAUCUUAGACAAGCAUAAAAUGUCUGAAGAACCCCUAUCAAAUCAUCUUUCAGAAUCAGAUGCCACCAUCAUUUAUCUAAAAGCCAAUAUAAGUGAAGUAAACGUAAGAGCAUUCUCUGCAUAAAUGUAAUAUCCAAAAGAGCCAAAUUAUUCAAAACCUUCAGCACUCUAGUUGCCACCUCUUCAAAAUUAGAAGGAAGAACAUGUGAACCCUCAAAAGAAAUAAGAAGUAUUUAGCAAUUUGUAACAUGUUGAACUGCAGAGAAUUCUGUCACAAGAUCAGCAUAAAUAAAAUUACAGCAAUAAUGGAACAGGACAAAACACUUUACAUCCAUGAGAGGUUCCCAAACUCCAGAUGGAACCAUAUGUAAUGGUCAUCUUCCAGACCUUCCAUUUGUGGACUUAAGACCUGUUCAGAAAUAAGUUUUUAUUCAAUUUUUUAAUUUGGUUUUUUACUGAAGUAACAUCCAAUAUGUUUGGGGGCUAAUUAACCUAAGACCUCCACAUUCCAUAGUAUUUUUGAGUAAUUCUUUCUCAGAAUCAUAUCUCCCUCGGCCACUAACUUACAUGGGAAACCUUCAAGCCCACAAAAAAAUCAUGAAGAUGUAGAUAAACAUGAAAACAUCUACCAUUGAUGUAAGCCUCCUGAAGAUGAAACAUCCACAAAAAUGAACAAGAGAACAUAAAAUGAAAUCCUGAAAGGGAAAGAGAAUCCUCACAUUGAACACAAACAAUACUAGCAUGAAAUCCUAAAAGAGACUAAAAGAUUAAAUUGUAUGUGAUUCAUGCAAAUACAGGAAAAAAUUAUAACAACAAAGAUAAAAACAAGCUCAGUCAUGACUUAAGUAGAAUACGACAAAUGGGAGAACAGAAACUAAUAAGUGUCUACAUAUGAAAAAUUCUCAAGAGCAGUCCAAUUAUCACUGCAAAAUUUGAACCAAUAAGAGAGUACAGGUAUAUUCACAACCAGAACAAUUUACCUGCUCAGAGGACAAUCUAUUG
rnacentral:misc_RNA from 1 species